rnacentral:rRNA from 1 species
UACGUAGGGGGCAAGCGUUAUCCGGAUUUACUGGGUGUAAAGGGAGCGUAGACGGUACGCCAAGUCAGAUGUGAAAUGCCGCAGCUUAACUGCGGAGCUGCAUUUGAAACUUACGUUCUUGAGUGAAGUAGAGGUAAGCGGAAUUCCUAGUGUAGCGGUGAAAUGCGUAGAUAUUAGGAGGAACACCGGUGGCGAAGGCGGCUUACUGGGCUUAAACUGACGCUGAGGCACGAAAGUGUGGGGAGCAAACAGG